rnacentral:rRNA from 1 species
UACGUAGGGGGCGAGCGUUGUCCGGAGUUACUGGGCGUAAAGCGCUUGUAGGCGGUCCACCAAGUUUGGGGUGACAGUUGCCGACUUAAUCGGCAAAGUGCCUCAAAGACUGGCGGACUUGAGGGCCACAGAGGGACAUGGAACUCCAGGUGUAGUGGUGAAAUGCGUAGAUAUCUGGAGGAAUACCGAUGGCGAAGGCAGCCUCCUGGGCCAACACUGACGCUCAUGCACGAAAGCGUGGGGAGCAAACAGG